rnacentral:rRNA from 1 species
GGGUUGUGAGGUUAAGCGACUAAGCGUACACGGUGGAUGCCCUGGCAGUCAGAGGCGAUGAAGGACGUGCUAAUCUGCGAUAAGCGUCGGUAAGGUGAUAUGAACCGUUAUAACCGGCGAUUUCCGAAUGGGGAAACCCAGUGUGAUUCGUCACACUAUCAUUAACUGAAUCCAUAGGUUAAUGAGGCGAACCGGGGGAACUGAAACAUCUAAGUACCCCGAGGAAAAGAAAUCAACCGAGAUUCCCCCAGUAGCGGCGAGCGAACGGGGAGCAGCCCAGAGCCUGAAUCAGUGUGUGUGUUAGUGGAAGCGUCUGGAAAGGCGCGCGAUACAGGGUGACAGCCCCGUACACAAAAAUGCACAUCUGUGAGCUCGAUGAGUAGGGCGGGACACGUGGUAUCCUGUCUGAAUAUGGGGGGACCAUCCUCCAAGGCUAAAUACUCCUGACUGACCGAUAGUGAACCAGUACCGUGAGGGAAAGGCGAAAAGAACCCCGGCGAGGGGAGUGAAAAAGAACCUGAAACCGUGUACGUACAAGCAGUGGGAGCCUCUUUAUGGGGUGACUGCGUACCUUUUGUAUAAUGGGUCAGCGACUUAUAUUCUGUAGCAAGGUUAACCGAAUAGGGGAGCCGAAGGGAAACCGAGUCUUAACUGGGCGUUAAGUUGCAGGGUAUAGACCCGAAACCCGGUGAUCUAGCCAUGGGCAGGUUGAAGGUUGGGUAACACUAACUGGAGGACCGAACCGACUAAUGUUGAAAAAUUAGCGGAUGACUUGUGGCUGGGGGUGAAAGGCCAAUCAAACCGGGAGAUAGCUGGUUCUCCCCGAAAGCUAUUUAGGUAGCGCCUCGUGAAUUCAUCUCCGGGGGUAGAGCACUGUUUCGGCAAGGGGGUCAUCCCGACUUACCAACCCGAUGCAAACUGCGAAUACCGGAGAAUGUUAUCACGGGAGACACACGGCGGGUGCUAACGUCCGUCGUGAAGAGGGAAACAACCCAGACCGCCAGCUAAGGUCCCAAAGUCAUGGUUAAGUGGGAAACGAUGUGGGAAGGCCCAGACAGCCAGGAUGUUGGCUUAGAAGCAGCCAUCAUUUAAAGAAAGCGUAAUAGCUCACUGGUCGAGUCGGCCUGCGCGGAAGAUGUAACGGGGCUAAACCAUGCACCGAAGCUGCGGCAGCGACAUGCUGGAGGUAUCAGAAGUGCGAAUGCUGACAUAAGUAACGAUAAAGCGGGUGAAAAGCCCGCUCGCCGGAAGACCAAGGGUUCCUGUCCAACGUUAAUCGGGGCAGGGUGAGUCGACCCCUAAGGCGAGGCCGAAAGGCGUAGUCGAUGGGAAACAGGUUAAUAUUCCUGUACUUGGUGUUACUGCGAAGGGGGGACGGAGAAGGCUAUGUUGGCCGGGCGACGGUUGUCCCGGUUUAAGCGUGUAGGCUGGGGUUGCGGACAGUGUCUGGUGGGUAGUUUGACUGGGGCGGUCUCCUCCUAAAGAGUAACGGAGGAGCACGAAGGUUGGCUAAUCCUGGUCGGACAUCAGGAGGUUAGUGCAAUGGCAUAAGCCAGCUUGACUGCGAGCGUGACGGCGCGAGCAGGUGCGAAAGCAGGUCAUAGUGAUCCGGUGGUUCUGAAUGGAAGGGCCAUCGCUCAACGGAUAAAAGGUACUCCGGGGAUAACAGGCUGAUACCGCCCAAGAGUUCAUAUCGACGGCGGUGUUUGGCACCUCGAUGUCGGCUCAUCACAUCCUGGGGCUGAAGUAGGUCCCAAGGGUAUGGCUGUUCGCCAUUUAAAGUGGUACGCGAGCUGGGUUUAGAACGUCGUGAGACAGUUCGGUCCCUAUCUGCCGUGGGCGCUGGAGAACUGAGGGGGGCUGCUCCUAGUACGAGAGGACCGGAGUGGACGCAUCACUGGUGUUCGGGUUGUCAUGCCAAUGGCACUGCCCGGUAGCUAAAUGCGGAAGAGAUAAGUGCUGAAAGCAUCUAAGCACGAAACUUGCCCCGAGAUGAGUUCUCCCUGACUCCCUGAGAGUCCUGAAGGAACGUUGAAGACGACGACGUUGAUAGGCCGGGUGUGUAAGCGCAGCGAUGCGUUGAGCUAACCGGUACUAAUGAACCGUGAGGCUUAACCUUACAACGCCGAAG